rnacentral:tRNA from 1 species
UUUCUAGUGGUCUAGUGAUUUAGACUCUGCACUUAAACUGCCAAGGGCACAGGUUCAAUCCCUGGCUGGGGAA